rnacentral:rRNA from 1 species
UACGGAGGGGGCAAGCGUUAUCCGGAAUUACUGGGCGUAAAGGGCGCGUAGGCGGCCUGCUAAGUCGAACGUGAAAUCCCUGGGCUCAACCCAGGAACUGCGUCCGAUACUGGUUGGCUUGAAUCCGGGAGAGGGAUGUGGAAUUCCAGGUGUAGCGGUGAAAUGCGUAGAUAUCUGGAGGAACACCUGAGGGGAAGGCGGGUUGCUAGGCUGACACUGACGCUGAGUGCGCGAAAGCCAGGGGAGCAAACGGG